AAAUAUAUUUAUAAAGUAUCGAUAAUUAUAAUUUUGUAUAAAACAUGUUGACAGAAAUGAAGGUAAAGAUUGCAUAUUGUAUAAGAAAUUUAUCUAUAUUUAUUUGCACGACAUACUUCAGUGAAGAAUAUAAAUGCAGUGAUAGCAAGUGAUUUACAAAGGAAAGAAUACUGGUAAAAUGUGUGGUAGUGACAAUUCCAAGAUAUUUUUAUACACAAACUUGUGUACAUAUAGAUAAAAUUAGUAUCAUCUCCCGUCAACAGAAUAUGCAAGGAAAAUUAAAUAGCUGAUAAUUUCGAAUAUUUAAUACAGAAACUCUUGUUCUUUUUUUUCAUCUUGGUUCUUCAGACAUAGAGGAUCAGUAAGAAGAAUAAGAUCAAAACAAUGCAUUUGAAAGUAUAUACCAUUUAGUUAUCCCAUUUACAUUAUACAUAUCUUCAUCUGUAUUUUCAGGAAAUGCUUCUAAAGAUCUCAGAUAAGAGAACCUAUAUAAAAAGAUAAACAAUUGUAAUUGUGUAUGUAUACAUUGAAUGCCAAGUCCAUCAGUAUUUGAGUACUGUCUUGGUUGAAGAUAAUUUUUCUAUAUAACAUACAAGUUUCCUAGUGAAGUAAACUUUGUAAACGCAAAACUUCAAUGUAACAGAUCGAGCGUUCGAGAACGCUGUCUUCAACAUAGCCCCAAAGUCGGCCGAGAGAAGCGAGACUGCCGACAACUUCUACAAUCACUUUCUCCGCGUUGUUCGAAAGCUUACCCAAUAUUUUGAUUAAAAUAUAUUAUGCUCAAACAAAGUAUAGGUAAUUACAUAUCUCUUUCUAA